ensembl:lncRNA
GCUUAAUCCACAAAAUUCUAUAGAUAAACAUAUAAGUUCUGAGCAUGGGACAACACACCCCUCCACCACCAGAUCUUCAGGGAAGAAAAGGAAGAUAUAAAAUCCAUAGGGGAACAGAGGGGUGUUUCCUUCAGAAGGCAGUAACAGAACUCUGUUUGGGUUAGAACCAAAUCAUAUAGAAUAAGAUAUUGUUCAUUGUGGAGUCUUAGAUUAAUAAAGCAGAGCCCCCCCCCCCCGCCCUUGCGGGGUGUUCGACAGCUGAGUAUUACAAAAAAGGGGGAAAUCUGGGACCAAAGAUAUCCAGCUGGGUCAAUGUUUUUUGUUCUUUUUUAAAGCAUCAGUUCCCCAACAUUUUCUGGCUUGGAUCAUGUGCCAUGUGCACAAUCCACCAGGAAGUUCUCUUGCACUAACCACAUUGGUAUGGUAAGCAUCAUUCAUCUUCCAGGAACUGUUGAUGCAUUUCUGCUGCUUGCCUUUUGUCAAGUCAACCCAUUAAUCCAACAUGUGCAGAGCAAAGGCAUUGAGCUGAAUCAGCCUUUGCAAACAAUGGGCAGUGAAUAGUACACUAAAUAGGGAGGGAUCACAAGGGGAGCAGAACUAAAUAACCAUCCAUUUCCUGACAGCAGCUUUGGGGAAACCAACCACCAGGAAACACUUUAUAAUUGCCUGUCACUUCCCCUAAUUUACUCUUACAAUAGUGUGACCUCACAUGCUGCUUUACAUCUGAAAGAAAGGUCUAUUUAGUUCCUGAAUCAGGGAAUCACAGUUAGUGAGAUUCUCAGGAACGUAAUGCCUGGUAAGCCAUUCUUUGGAUUCAAUAAGCAAAGGAACCUGUGGCCCUUCAGAGGCUGGUCAAUGAAGACAGUGUCUACACUAGGCAAAUGAUUACAGUAUAUAUCUAGCAGAGCUCCAUAUGGACACCAGCAGAUGCAUCUGUGAUGGUCAGAAAGGUGCAUGAAGCUCCUUGCGUGGCAGGGAGCAACAGCAGCAACACAGGGACAAAAUAUACCCUUCAAACCCAACCAACUGUCCAGAUGGUUACAAAACUCCAGGACAGUCCUCUAAGUUUUCUGCAAACUCCAGAGCAUCCCCCAACUUUGCCUAAAGCAGGGCAACGACAAGUUAUCACUGGAAGUCCCUGUGCAUCAUGGAGAGAGAAAAACAGUGGAUUCAAGGUCUAUCCUACCACUCAUCAAUUUGAGGUACCAAAUUCUGUAUUUUUGUGUGCUGAAAUUCCAAAAGGAAUGUUUACUUUGCUUCUAUGUGUCCUCAUGGGUCUCCUGGGUGUGGCCGGUGCUCAACCUGGAAAAGCUUCUGUGACAGAUUAUACACAAUCAACAUUGCAUUACGCAGAAAGCAGAGAUCUCAUCUUUUCAGGAACAUCCAGGGGCUCAGAGGUCUCUGCUGAAAAUUCAGCAUCCACAUUCAAGCAUCAGAGCAUGAUUCCAGACAAGGCCCAAAGCACAAAUGCAAGCACACCGUCUCUAUUGAAAAUGAGCAGAUUGAAAGGAGAGGCUUCCACGGCACAAACUGAGCCGGAGCAUCAAAUGGACUUCCUGGCCAAAAUUAGGCAGAAAGCCAGUGAAGAUACACUUAUUGGGAAGAGGCAAGAAGCACCACUGUCUUCCGUUGUCUGUUGUGCCCUCACCACUGGAUCAGCAAAUGGUGGCCUUCCUCUAGGCACUGUUGGCUAUGAAGGUAGGACUAUGAGGCAAGUGAAAGCUAAUCUGCAGGAAACAGGGCAAGCUCAAAUCCCAAAGAACCACGAUCUUGGACUUGUUAUUCCAUCUCCUGAGUCAUACCAUCCCAGCAGCAAAUAUAGUUCUUCUGGAGAUAAUCUGCAAAAGAUGAAGACUCCAUCUUAUUCUAAGAUACUCGAUGAACUAAUUUUUUAUUCUUCACCCACGAUAGAGUCAAAGACCAACACCAGCAGAAAAAAUCACUCCGAUGAGAAUGAUAUGAAAAUCCUACGCCCUUUUCUAGUUCUGUUUUUAUUCCUCUUUGUCCCAGUUCUACUAUGUAUAUUGUGUUAUUAUGGGGAGAGAAAAGAAGAAUACAAUUAUGCGUGA